rnacentral:rRNA from 1 species
CUACGGGAAGGCAGCAGUGGGGAAUCUUGGACAAUGGGGGCAACCCUGAUCCAUCCAUGCCGCGUGAGUGAUGAAGGCCGUAGGGUUGUAAAGCUCUUUCACCAGGGAAGAUAAUGACGGUACCUGGAUAAGAAGCCCCGGCUAACUCCGUGCCAGCAGCCGCGGUAAUACGGAGGGGGCUAGCGUUGUUCGGAAUUACUGGGCGUAAAGCGCGCGUAGGCGGCUAUCCAAGUCGGGGGUGAAAUCCCUGGGCUUAACCCAGGAACUGCCUUCUAAACUGGCUGUCUAGAGUCCGAGAGAGGUGAGUGGAAUUUCCAGUGUAGAGGUGAAAUUCGUAGAUAUUCGGAGGAACACCAGUGGCGAAGGCGGCUCACUGGCUCGAUACUGACGCUGAGGCGCGAAAGCGUGGGGAGCAAACCAGGAUUAGAUACCCCUGGUAGU